UACGUAGGGGGCUAGCGUUGUCCGGAAUCAUUGGGCGUAAAGCGCGUGUAGGCGGCCCGAUAAGUCCGCUGUGAAAGUCCAGGGCUCAACCCUGGGAUGCCGGUGGAUACUGUCGGGCUCGAGUCCGGAAGAGGCGAGUGGAAUUCCUGGUGUAGCGGUGAAAUGCGCAGAUAUCAGGAGGAACACCAAUGGCGAAGGCAGCUCGCUGGGACGUGACUGACACUGAGGCGCGAAAGCGUGGGGAGCGAACAGG
rnacentral:rRNA from 1 species